UCUCCCCGCCCACCGCUGUGGUGCGGGAACUGGGGACUUAUCAAGACAAAGAACAAAAGUCGUGGGGGAAAGAAGCCAAGAGCCAUCUCUACUCCGGGGUAGGGCCCUUCAGUUUUGCCCCUUUGAAAUUUCAAAUUCCAGUUUGUGGACAAAGUCCUAAGUUUCUCACAAUAUAGGUCCCCAACCACUGACCAAACUCCAGUCCAGGCAGCCAGCAGGCCCAGGGCUGCUUCCUUUGGCAGUUCCCAAGGUCUGGGAGGAAGAGGUCCUGCCCCAGGGGGUCUGUCAGGCCAUUCCUGCAGCUCCAUCCCACCCCACAGGGACCCUUGCCUCGCACCUGAGAGGAGCCCUCUUCCUGGAGCUGGGAUCUGAUGCUUGUUGGCACCGACAGCAGAUACCAGGCAUCAGGCCAUAGAGAAAGAUGCAGAGCCCUACGCUGACAAUCCCUCUGUGCCUCCAUUUUCUCACCUGCACAUGGCAGGAUUACACUUUCGUGCCUCCUUCGAAGUUGGAUGUGACCAUGUGACUUGUCCUGGCCAAUGAAGUGUGCACAGAAACCAUCUGUGUCACACCUGAGCAGGUUUAAGAGCCAGUACUUAGGUCGUUGUGGAAGCACAGACAGAUACGGAGUCACAGGAAGAGAAGAGCCCCUGCCAGCCCAUGCCAGAUAUGUACCCCCCAGAAGACAAACCAGGACCAACGAAUGGAUGCUACAAGGUUUGUGCUCAAAAUGGAGACCAUUUUUCUACCAGAUACAAUGGUUCUUACUAGGGGAAAAGCUACUUUUUUAAGUAGUGAGCGUACUGUCAUUGGGAGUAUCAAGCCCAAGCUAAACGUCAGGGAGGAUGGUGACAAGAUUCCGGCAAAGGACCAGAGGUUGAAUCAAAGUAGUAUCUCCCAGGGGCAAACGUCUUAAAUAAAAUACCGUCAGAACCAAAUUCAUGUUGGAAAAACUGGCUUAUCCACAGGCAAAAGAAUGAAGUUGGAUUCUUUGUUUAUAUCAUAUACAAACAUUAAUGCAAAAUGGAAUAAAGACCUAAACGUAAGAGCUAAAACUAUAAAAUUCUUAGAAGAAGACAUAGGGGGAAAUAUUCAUGACAAUGGAUUUGGCAAUAAUUUCUUGGAUAUGACACCAAAAGCACAGGCAACAAAAGAAAAAAAUAGAUACACUAAGUACAUAUAAAUGUAAAACUUUUGGGCACCAAAGUAUAUUAUCAACAGAGUGAAAGGGCAACUGUGGAAUGGGAGAAGAUAUUUGCAAAUAAUAUAUGUGAUAAGGGGUUAAUAUCCAGAAUAUAUAAAAGCUCCUAUAACUCAGAAACAACAACAAAAAAAAACAAUUUUAAACUCAGCUAAGGGCUUGAAUAGAGAUUUCCUCAAGGAAAAUA